rnacentral:rRNA from 1 species
CCCUUAGAUGUUCUGGGCUGCACGCGCGCUACACUGAUGCACUCAACGAGUUUACGACCUUGCCCGAUAGGGUUGGGUAAUCUUUUUAAAAUGCAUCGUGACGGGGAUAGAUUAUUGCAAUUAUUAAUCUUCAACGAGGAAUGCCUAGUAGGCGCAAGUCAUCAGCUUGCGUCGAUUACGUCCCUGCCCUUUGUACACACCGCCCGUCGCUCCUACCGAUUGGGUGUGCUGGUGAAAUGUUCGGAUCGGCCGUUUGUCGCGGUUUCCGCGUCAUGUGGCUGAGAAGUUCAUUAAACCCUCCCACCUAGAGGAAGGAGAAGUCGUAACA